rnacentral:rRNA from 1 species
AUUGAACGCUGGCGGAAUGCUUUACACAUGCAAGUCGAACGGCAGCACGGACUUCGGUCUGGUGGCGAGUGGCGAACGGGUGAGUAAUGUAUCGGAACGUGCCCAGUCGUGGGGGAUAACGUAGUGAAAAUUACGCUAAUACCGCAUACGAUCUAUGGAUGAAAGCGGGGGAUCGCAAGACCUCGCGCGAUUGGAUCGGCCGAUAGCAGAUUAGGUAGUUGGUGGGGUAAAGGCCCACCAAGCCAACGAUCUGUAGCUGGUCUGAGAGGACGACCAGCCACACUGGAACUGAGACACGGUCCAGACUCCUACGGGAGGCAGCAGUGGGGAAUUUUGGACAAUGGGCGAAAGCCUGAUCCAGCCAUUCCGCGUGCAGGAUGAAGGCCCUCGGGUUGUAAACUGCUUUUGCACAGAACGAAAAGGUUUCUACUAAUACUAGGAGCUCAUGACGGUACUGUAAGAAUAAGCACCGGCUAACUACGUGCCAGCAGCCGCAGUAA